CUCUUUCCAGUUGAUGAUCAAUGCUUUUCCGGGAUUUCUCAUGGCAAUCAACACUUCGUCGAGACCUUUCCAUUUGAUCCAUGCGCAGCUUUUCUAGCUUAUCAGUAUUAUUAGACUGAUUUUUGAGUUUUUCCAGUUUGUCAGCAUGAUUGGAUUGGUUUUUCAGUUUCUCAGGCCUGUCAGUACUAUGCCUUGGUUUCUCUCUCCGGUCUGUACUUUUCCUUGAAACCUCAAAUACAUCAGUACUCUUCCGGGCUUGUUCAA
rnacentral:misc_RNA from 1 species